GCAUGUGUACCCAAGUGGUCUAAGGGAACGGUCUGCAAAACCGUUAUUCGCAGGUUUGAAUCCUGCCACAUGCUCCA
rnacentral:tRNA from 1 species